UACGUAGGGACCAAGCGUUGUUCGGAUUCACUGGGCGUAAAGGGCGCGUAGGCGGCGUGACAAGUCACUUGUGAAAUCUCCGGGCUUAACUGGAAUGGUCAAGUGAUACUGUUGUGCUAGAGUGCAGAAGGGGCAAUCGGAAUUCUUGGUGUAGCGGUGAAAUGCGUAGAUAUCAAGAGGAACACCAGAGGCGAAGGCGGAUUGCUGGGCUGACACUGACGCUGAGGCGCGAAAGCUAGGGUAGCAAACGGG
rnacentral:rRNA from 1 species